UACAGAGGGGGCAAGCGUUAUUCGGAAUUAUUGGGCGUAAAGGGCGCGUAGGCGGCUUUUCAAGUGACGGGUGAAAUCCCUCGGCUUAACCGAGGAACUGCCUGUCAGACUGGAAGGCUUGAGACCGGGAGAGGUGAGUGGAAUUCCCAGUGUAGCGGUGAAAUGCGUAGAUAUCAAGUGGAACACCAGUGGCGAAGGCGAAUCCCUGGAAAAUACCUGACACUGAGGCACGAAAGCUAGGGGAGCAAACAGG
rnacentral:rRNA from 1 species